GGUGGAUUAGUGGCGAACGGGUGAGUAACACGUGGGUGAUCUGCCCUGCACUUCGGGAUAAGCCUGGGAAACUGGGUCUAAUACCGGAUAGGACCUUCUGCCGCAUGGUGGGGGGUGGAAAGGUUUUCCGGUGCAGGAUGGGCCCGCGGCCUAUCAGCUUGUUGGUGGGGUAACGGCCCACCAAGGCGACGACGGGUAGCCGGCCUGAGAGGGCGACCGGCCACACUGGGACUGAGACACGGCCCAGACUCCUACGGGAGGCAGCAGUGGGGAAUAUUGCACAAUGGGCGCAAGCCUGAUGCAGCGACGCCGCGUGAGGGAUGACGGCCUUCGGGUUGUAAACCUCUUUCAGUACCGACGAAGCGCAAGUGACGGUAGGUACAGAAGAAGCACCGGCCAACUACGUGCCAGCAGCCGCGGUAAUACGUAGGGUGCGAGCGUUGUCCGGAAUUACUGGGCGUAAAGAGCUCGUAGGCGGUUUGUCGCGUCGUCUGUGAAAACCCGCAGCUCAACUGCGGGCUUGCAGGCGAUACGGGCAGACUUGAGUACUGCAGGGGAGACUGGAAUUCCUGGUGUAGCGGUGAAAUGCGCAGAUAUCAGGAGGAACACCGGUGGCGAAGGCGGGUCUCUGGGCAGUAACUGACGCUGAGGAGCGAAAGCGUGGGUAGCGAACAGGAUUAGAUACCCUGGUAGUCCACGCCGUAAACGGUGGGCGCUAGGUGUGGGUUUCCUUCCACGGGAUCCGUGCCGUAGCUAACGCAUUAAGCGCCCCGCCUGGGGAGUACGGCCGCAAGGCUAAAACUCAAAG
rnacentral:rRNA from 1 species